CGGGCGCUCCGGGUCCCAAGGCCAAGACCAACUUCACUCUCUCCCUCCCUCACGCCCAGCCCCAGCUCCACCACCAUCAGCACCACCACCACCACCUCACCUACCCACCCUACUCCGCUGCCAUCGCUAGCUAGGCUAGCCACCACCAGCCUUAACUCCACCGUUGAGUCAUUCGGCACCAGGCCGCGACUGAUCCUUGAUGGUGACUGCCACAAUGAUUGCGGGUUGUCGGCGUCGAUGGUUGAUGAGGACUGCACGGAUGCCACCGCCUCACUGUCGUGUCAGCUCACCCGACAUGAUCCCUCACCCCUCCUCUCUGUUGUUUUUGUUUACCUGAUCUGGUGA
rnacentral:lncRNA from 1 species